rnacentral:rRNA from 1 species
CACUCCUACGGGAGGCAGCAGUGGGGAAUAUUGCACAAUGGGCGCAAGCCUGAUGCAGCCAUGCCGCGUGUAUGAAGAAGGCCUUCGGGUUGUAAAGUACUUUCAGCGGGGAGGAAGGCAAUACGGUUAAUAACCGUGUUGAUUGACGUUACCCGCAGAAGAAGCACCGGCUAACUCCGUGCCAGCAGCCGCGGUAAUACGGAGGGUGCAAGCGUUAAUCGGAAUUACUGGGCGUAAAGCGCACGCAGGCGGUCUGUCAAGUCGGAUGUGAAAUCCCCGGGCUCAACCUGGGAACUGCAUUCGAAACUGGCAGGCUUGAGUCUUGUAGAGGGGAGUAGAAUUCCAGGUGUAGCGGUGAAAUGCGUAGAGAUCUGGAGGAAUACCGGUGGCGAAGGCGGCCCCCUGGACAAAGACUGACGCUCAGGUGCGAAAGCGUGGGGAGCAAACAGGAUUAGAAACCCGAGUAGUCCCAUGAU